UGUGGGUUCACAUAUAUAUAGGCCCUCCCAAACACUAUUACAAUUUUCAGUUUAGUAUAUCAGAUACUUUUCGUCGGAGCCCUUCUGAAUGUCCGUUUGCGCUCAAAUUUGACAGUCAGGCUCGGUUAAAAUCAUUCAGAUGAACGAAAUCUUAACUUCUCAGUUUGAACUAUUUUUUGUCACCGAAAACUCUACUGACUAGAAUCUCUAGCAGAUAGCAGUCAGAUUUUAUUUUUCACUUUACGGGUGUCAAAAUGAGAUAAAAUUUUAAAUCUAGCCCCAUAAAAAUAAUUCUGACGUAUUCUCAAGUUUUUAUAAUUUUCUGACACUGAAUUUUCUGCUAACAUAUCAUCCCCGUUUCUUACCGAAAAUUCUAAAUCUUCUGUUUCCAUUCCAAUUUCAGCAAAAGUCAUUUCCGACUUAUAUUUUACUUCUUUACAUCCAAUAAAAAUAGUAUCUUACACUAUUUUUAUUUACAUUUACUUUAUAUUAAAAUUUUGGUACAUUACAA
rnacentral:lncRNA from 1 species